UACGGAAGGCAGCAGUGGGGAAUAUUGCACAAUGGGCGAAAGCCUGAUGCAGCUAUGCCGCGUGUAUGAAGAAGGCCUUAGGGUUGUAAAGUACUUUCAUCGGGGAGGAAAAAACAAAACUAAUAAUUUUAUUUCUUGACGUUACCCGAAAAAGAAGCACCGGCUAACUCCGUGCCAGCAGCCGCGGUAAUACGGAGGGUGCUAGCGUUAAUCAGAAUUACUGGGCGUAAAGAGCACGUAGGUGGUUUUUUUAAGUCAGAUGUGAAAUCCCUGGGCUUAACCUGGAACUGCAUUUUGAAACUGAAAUACUAGAGUAUCGUAGAGGGAGGUAGAAUUCUAGGUGUAGCGGUGAAAUGCGUAGAUAUCUGGAGGAAUACCUGUGGCGAAAGCGGCCUCCUAAACGAAUACUGACACUGAGGUGCGAAAGCGUUGGGGAGCAAACAGGGAUUUAGGAUACC
rnacentral:rRNA from 1 species